rnacentral:rRNA from 1 species
AUGAACGCUGGCGGCGUGCCUCAUCCCUGCCAGUCGCGCGAACAGACGAGGAGCUUGCUCCUCUGACGUUAGCGGCGGACGGGUGAGUAACACGUGGAUAACCUACCUAUAAGCCUGGGAUAACUUCGGGAAACCGGAGCUAAUACCGGAUAAUAUAUUGAACCGCAUGGUUCAAUAGUGAAAGACGGUUUUGCUGUCACUUAUAGAUGGAUCCGCGCCGCAUUAGCUAGUUGGUAAGGUAACGGCUUACCAAGGCAACGAUGCGUAGCCGACCUGAGAGGGUGAUCGGCCACACUGGAACUGAGACACGGUCCAGACUCCUACGGGAGGCAGCAGUAGGGAAUCUUCCGCAAUGGGCGAAAGCCUGACGGAGCAACGCCGCGUGAGUGAUGAAGGUCUUCGGAUCGUAAAACUCUGUUAUUAGGGAAGAACAAAUGUGUAAGUAACUAUGCACGUCUUGACGGUACCUAAUCAGAAAGCCACGGCUAACUACGUG